rnacentral:tRNA from 1 species
GGAAGAUCAUCGUCCCCGGUGGGGCGGCCGGACUUCAAAUCCGGUUGGGGCCGCCAGCGGUCCCAGGCAGGUUCGACUCCUGUGAUCUUCCGCCA